GGGCACUCUAAGGUGACUGCCGGCUAAAAGUCGGAGGAAGGUGGGGAUGACGUCAAAUCAUCAUGCCCCUUAUGACCUGGGCUACACACGUGCUACAAUGGGCGGUACAAAGGGUCGCGAACCCGCGAGGGGGAGCCAAUCCCAAAAAAGCCGCUCUCAAUUCGGAUUGCAGGCUGCAACUCGCCUGCAUGAAGCCGGAAUCGCUAGUAAUCGCGGAUCAGCAUGCCGCGGUGAAUACGUUCCCGGGCCUU
rnacentral:rRNA from 1 species